GGCCUCUGCUGGGGGAAGGGAGAGCACAGUACUCUCCACGGCGCUUCGAGGGCCCCUGGGAAUCCCUCGGGCGGACUUCACCCCAGGCCUCAGUGUGGAGGGACUGCUGUGCCCACCAAGGGAGCAAGGCCUGCAUGUCCAGAGGGUUGGGCAGACCUUGAUGCCACCUCGUAGGCUUCCCGGCUGUGGAAUCCAAAGCCACGCGGGCUCUCCAAGCUUCCGGGUGAACAGAUGUAAGAGGACCUGCCCGUGGCAAGUGUUCAGAAAUCUUGAAGUUACGUCACACGAAUGCAACAGAAAGUGUGUGCUGUUCCUCAGAAGGUUAAACACAGAGCUACGCGACCCUGCAAUUCUACUCCUAGGGCCUUUGCACAUGCUGGUCCUUCUACCUGGGAUGCUUGUCUCUCCUCUCUUUGCUCACUUAAAACAUCAUUAGUGUUUGGAUCUCAGC